AGCCUGAACGCUGGCGGCGUGGCUAAGACAUGCAAGUCGCACGGAGGUAGCAAUACCUUAGUGGCGAACGGGUGAGUAAAGUAUCGCUAACGUACCCUUAAGUCCGGGAUAGCCAGGGGGAAACUCUGGGUAAUACCGGGUGACAUUCUUCUCUCGCAUGGGAGGAGACUCAAAGGAGCAAUCCGCUGAAGGAGCGGGCGAUAUCGUAUCAGCUAGUUGGUGAGGUAACGGCUCACCAAGGCGACGACGCGUAGCCGGACUGAGAGGUCGGUCGGCCACAUUGGGACUGAGACACUGCCCAGACUCCUACGGGGGCUGCAGUAACGAAUCUUCCGCAAUGCACGCAAGUGUGACGGAGCGACGCCGCGUGUGGGACGAAGUCCUCGGGAUGUAAACCACUGUCAGGGGUUACCAAGUUCUGAGGAACCCCAGAGGAAGGCACGGCUAACUCUGCGCCAGCAGCCGC
rnacentral:rRNA from 1 species